GAUGAACGCUGGCGGCGUGCCUAAUACAUGCAAGUCGAGCGAACAGACGAGGAGCUUGCUCCUCUGACGUUAGCGGCGGACGGGUGAGUAACACGUGGAUAACCUACCUAUAAGACUGGGAUAACUUCGGGAAACCGGAGCUAAUACCGGAUAAUAUAUUGAACCGCAUGGUUCAAUAGUGAAAGACGGUUUUGCUGUCACUUCUAGAUGGAUCCGCGCCGCAUUAGCUAGUUGGUAGGGUAACGGCUUACCAAGGCGACGAUGCGUAGCCGACCUGAGAGGGGGGUCGGCCACACUGGAACUGAGACACGGUCCAGACUCCUACGGGAGGCAGCAGUAGGGAAUCUGCCGCAAUGGGCGAAAGCCUGACGGAGCAACGCCGCGUGAGUGAUGAAGGUCUUCGGAUCGUAAAACUCUGUUAUUAGGGAAGAACAAAUGUGUAAGUAACUAUGCACGUCUUGACGGUACCUAAUCAGAAAGCCACGGCUAACUACGUG
rnacentral:rRNA from 1 species